GACGUAGGGGGCCAGCGUUGUUCGGAAUUACUGGGUGUAAAGGGUUCGUAGGCGGUGUGGCAAGUCAGGAGUGAAAUCUCUGGGCUCAACUCAGAGACUGCUUCCGAAACUGCUGUGCUGGAGUGUGGGAGAGGCGCGUGGAAUUGCAGGUGUAGCGGUGAAAUGCGUAGAUAUCUGCAGGAACACCCGUGGCGAAAGCGGCGCGCUGGACCACUACUGACGCUGAGGAACGAAAGCUAGGGGAGCAAACAGG
rnacentral:rRNA from 1 species